rnacentral:rRNA from 1 species
UAAUUGAAGAGUUUGAUCAUGGCUCAGAUUGAACGCUGGCGGCAGGCCUAACACAUGCAAGUCGAGCGGUAACAGGGGAAGCUUGCUUCUCGCUGACGAGCGGCGGACGGGUGAGUAAUGUAUGGGGAUCUGCCCGAUAGAGGGGGAUAACUACUGGAAACGGUAGCUAAUACCGCAUAAUCUCUAAGGAGCAAAGCAGGGGAACUUCGGUCCUUGCGCUAUCGGAUGAACCCAUAUGGGAUUAGCUAGUAGGUGAGGUAAUGGCUCACCUAGGCGACGAUCCCUAGCUGGUCUGAGAGGAUGAUCAGCCACACUGGGACUGAGACACGGCCCAGACUCCUACGGGAGGCAGCAGUGGGGAAUAUUGCACAAUGGGCG